UUAAGUGUAUAAGGCUGAUUUGGAGCUGCAUUUCAUGGCUCAACACCUUCGUCACUAAUUUAAACCCAAACAAGAGAUCCAACACAGUGAUGGACAGGUUCACAAAGUAUGAGUAUUAAAACCAUGAGCUCAAGCUAGCUGACAUCGACAUCGAGAGAAACACAUGCCAAUCAUGACAAAAGGAAAUCAAAACUUAAUGAGCUAUUU
rnacentral:lncRNA from 1 species